GUAGGUGAACCUGCGGAAGGAUCAUUACAAUUCAGUAGCUUGCUACUGAUCGGGAGGCGCUGUAAGCCCGCAUAGUUUAAUCACUGAUGAGCGGCAGGCCCUCUGUCUGUACCCUUGUCUUUUGCGCACUCAUGUUUCCUCGGCGGGCUUGCCCGCCGAUUGGACAACCCUAUAACCUUUUUAAUUUUCAAUCAGCGUCUGAAAAAAUUUAAUAAUUACAACUUUCAACAACGGAUCUCUUGGUUCUG
rnacentral:misc_RNA from 1 species